UUAGGAAUAUUCGGCAAUGGGGGAAACCCUGACCGAGCAAUGCCGCGUGAGUGAUGAAGGCCCUUGGGUUGUAAAACUCUGUUGUUAGGGAAGAACUUCUACUAUAGGAAAUGAUAGUAGAUUGACGGUACCUUUCCAGAAAGCUCCGGCUAACUACGUGCCAGCAGCCGCGGUAAUACGUAGGGAGCGAGCGUUAUCCGGAUUCAUUGGGCGUAAAGCGUGUGUAGGCGGUUUGUUAAGUUUAAGGUUAAAGCCCGGGGCUCAACCCCGGUUCGCCUUAAAAACUGGCAGACUGGAGUGUGGUAGAGGCAAGUGGAAUUUCUAGUGUAGCGGUGAAAUGCGUAGAUAUUAGAAGGAACACCAGUGGCGAAGGCGGCUUGCUGGGCCAUUACUGACGCUGAGACACGAAAGCGUGGGGAGCAAAUAGG
rnacentral:rRNA from 1 species